AUGCCUAGACUAAGAACACACGGCGUUAGAAGCCACUGGCGUCCCUUCCGAUCCACACACAUCCAUCAUCAGCGACUUUCCCCUUGCUACCAUGAACAAAUCAUAACCGUCUACCCGUUGCAGCACACCUCCGACGACUCACGCACAGAACACCGCACCACCGCUGGACUCGAGCCCUCCCUCCGAUCCGCUGUCGCCACCGGUAACCACCUUUCCUCUAAUGUCUUUUAA